AGAGCGAACGCUGGCGGCAGGCCUAACACAUGCAAGUCGAGCGCCCGUAGCAAUACGGGAGCGGCAGACGGGGUAGUAACACGUGGGAACGCGCCCUUCGGUUCGGAAUAACUCAGGGAAACUUGAGCUAAUACCGGAUACGCCCUUACGGGGAAAGAUUUAUUGCCGAAGGAACGGCCCGCGUCCGAUUAGCUAGUUGGUGAGGUAAUGGCUCACCAAGGCGACGAUCGGUAGCUGGUCUGAGAGGAUGACCAGCAUCACUGGGACUGAGACACGGCCCAGACUCCUACGGGAGGCAGCAGUGGGGAAUAUUGGACAAUGGGCGCAAGCCUGAUCCAGCCAUGCCGCGUGGAUGAUGAAGGCCUUAGGGUUGUAAAGUCCUUUUAACGGGAAGAUAAUGACGGUACCGUAGAAUAAGCCCGGCUAACUUCGCGCCAGUAGCCGC
rnacentral:rRNA from 1 species